GACCGUGUAGCUCGGUUGGCAGAGCAUUGGGCUAGUAUUCCAAAGGUCGUAGGUUCGAAUCCCACCAUGGCCA